rnacentral:rRNA from 1 species
GAUGAACGCUGGCGGCGUGCCUAAUACAUGCAAGUCGAGCGAACAGAUGAGGAGCUUGCUCCUCUGACGUUAGCGGCGGACGGGUGAGUAACACGUGGAUAACCUACCUAUAAGACUGGGAUAACUUCGGGAAACCGGAGCUAAUACCGGAUAAGAUAUUGAAGCGCAUGGUUCAAUAGUGAAAGACGGUUUUGCGGUCACUUAUAGAUGGAUCCGCGCCGCAUUAGCUAGUUGGUAAGGUAACGGCUUACCAAGGCAACGAUGCGUAGCCGACGGGAGAGGGUGAUCGGCGACACUGGAACUGGGCCACGGUCCAGACUCCUGCGGUAGGCAGCAGUAGGGUAUCUGCCGCAAUGGGCGAAAGCCUGACGGAGCAACGCCGAGUGAGUGAUGACGGUCUUCGGAUCGUAAAACUCUGUUAUGAGGGAAGAACAAAUGUGUAAGUAACUAUGCACGUCUUGACGGUACCUAAUCAGAAAGCCACGGCUAACUACGUG